GCAGGUGCGUGCGUGUUGGCGAUCGGGACACGUGCGUGGAGGGUCCAGCGUGGCAGGUCCGGAAUGGCGCAGGGGACAGGAGGUUGGAGCUGUUCGGAUGCGAGCGGGAGAGGCGGGCGGGGGUUGGGGCAAAGGGACAUGAGGACGGGGUGCACAUCGGGUGGAGGAAUGGGCAAGGCGUACCGGUAUGCGCGUUGGCACUGGGAUAUGAAGCGAAGCUGGUGGCAAGCAGCUCAGCCUAGGUUGUGGCUGCUCCUGCCACCGCAGAUCAGAGCGACAUCUCCGGCGUGCACCUCACCUUCACAACCGGCGAGGAGUGGGCGGCACUGGCAGAGCUUGGGUUCAAGCAGCGGCUGGGCCUGCAGGUGUGUCCUGGGGCGAAAUUACUGGACCUUGCGAUGCUUUGGGCCGGAUACGGCUUUGCCAAGCCAAUGAAGUGGAUGAUCCUGGUGCGAGUACAGUCCAAAGUGCCAUCCACACGGAAGAUUAUGUUAAUUACCUCUUUGCCUUGCUGUGACCCUCCGCCUCAUCCACAUAACACCCCAAUCGCCACCAGUUCCAUUGGGACAACCCCG
rnacentral:lncRNA from 1 species